rnacentral:tRNA from 1 species
GGGGUUGUGGCUCAGUGAUAGAGCGCUUGCCUCACAUGCAUGAGCCCCUGGCUUUAAUCCUCAGCACCA